AGCUCCAAUAGCGUAUAUUAAAGUUGUUGCAGUUAAAGCUCGUAGUUGGAUUUCUGGGAGGGUGCCAAUGUCCGUCGUCGUACGUGUUGCAGCGGCGCCCUUCCAUCCUUCUGUUAACGACUUUGGGCAUUCAUUUGCUGGAGUCGGGCUCAGAUAUUUUACCUUGAGAAAUUAGAGUGUUUCAGGCAGGCUAAGCCGGAAUACAUUAGCAUGGAAUAAUGGAAUAGGACUACGGUCUCUUUGUUGGUUUGAGGGACUGCAGUAAUGAUUAAUAGGGAUAGUUGGGGGCAUUAGUAUUUAAUUGUCAGAGGUGGAAUUCUCGGAUUUGUUAAAGACUAACUUAUGCGAAAGCAUUGCCAAGGAUGUUUUCA
rnacentral:rRNA from 1 species